GCCAGCAGCAGUAUCACCCUGCAACUCACAACUGGCAGCCCACUGAAGCUCAGCAGGUGUGAGCCUGGUCAGUACCUGGAUGGGAGACCUCCUGGUAAAAACUAAGGUUGCUGCUGGAA
rfam:Lepisosteus oculatus linkage group LG1, whole genome shotgun sequence.